AUGACAAAUGGAAAAAAACUCUGAAAAUGUCUGCCGAAGGCUCAAGUUCAAUCCAGUAUAUAAAGUGACUUUAAUAGUGAAUAAACUAACAACCAGCCAUUGUAUUUAUUAUUAUUAUUUAUUACUGCAUGUAUUUGUAGUAAAACAUGAGUUGAAACAUCCUACUUUUGGAUCUAGAACUGCACAAGCCGUUCAUUUUCAGUCACCUGACGAGUUAAACUCCCCUUUUUAUGUGAGGUUGAAGCAGAAAGUCUGAGUUAACAAAGAAAGUUGUUUAUAAUUUGCGAUACCUGUUAUCUCUGACUGAGGCUUUAGUUUUUGUUGAGCUGAUUUACAUGUAGAAACUUUGUUCAGGAAGAUUUCUCAGUAGCUCAGAGGACAGGCUGCUUUUUUACACAACCUUGUAAGAGAAUAUCUGUCAAUGCUUUCAGCAGAAUUUAGAAACAACACUUCCUAAACAGAUAUUUUGAGGCUGUGAGGUUGAACGUUUGAGAGUAUAUCAGUGUGUGUGUUUGUGGUCUUUCUGUUUCUAGGUGGAAGCUGAAUUAGUGAGGAUGACUCCUGCUCCUGUCAUCUCUAAGCUCCUCACACAUCUUUACCUGCACAUGAGAAAAAUCACUCCUGUAGAAUGCAGAUGUUCAGAGGGAGAUGAUGCCACAUCUGGUCCAGCCGAUGGAAGGUCUUGAAGUUCUCUGACUGGCCUGGACUGAAGAUGGUCGUCUCACUGGAUUUAAGGAACUUCUGCAGAGUCCUGGUUCCAGAACAUGAUGAUGGAAUUAUAGACAAACUUUAACAAAAGCUGCCUGAGAGUUUACAGGUUUUUAUGUUAGAUUUCUUCAGUAAUUUAAUGAGCGUUAUCAGCAAAAAUCAAGUGUUCUUUUGACGAACUUCAUUUCCUAAAGCAUCCAGAAUUGGAGCUCAUAUCUUUGGCAGCUGUAAAGUUUCUGCUCCUUCAAAGUUCGCAACACAAUGAAUGAAUUCCUAAAACACUCUCAAUGCUGGAGAGCAUGUGAUGCUGAAGCAGUGAUCAGUUUUUCUGUUUCUUCUCUGGAGAUGCACAAUGAGGGACGUCUGCAGAGACUGAGAAAGAGUCUCACCACAUCCUGACAUGAGGAAAAAGACUUUAUUGAAGACUACAAUGAGAAAAACUAUCCAGACAGCAGACGGCUGCAUUCAAGGUGAGCUCUGAACAUUUGAUCUGGAACAGGAAUUCAAUAACGGCAGCAUGAGCUUCAUUUCAGUCUGUAGCUGCUGAAUUCAUGGAUGAAUCAUCUGGCACUAGAGAGGAAGACCAUCAAACAUCCAUGUCAGCUGAUGGAGGUCCAAGAGUCUCACCAAACAAACAACCUACAGAGUGAAGACCUCUAAUCUGAUUGGACGGCCUCCUAUUCAGCCACGUGUGAACAAAUGCCUCUAAGUUGAUUUGUUUUCUAAAAUAAAUCUAGUUUGAGUCCUAAUCUAUGCCUGUGUGUUUGCUUCUUUACAUCGCUGUUAACAGUUUAGGCUGUUAGAUUGUUCCAGAUAAGACAAGUACAAGAUUCUUCAGAGCCGUUCUACCACGAGCCUGACAGGAAGAACUCCAACAGCUACUGAAUGUUCCUGUGGUCCCCUCAAGGCUACAUGAGGAGCCCUACGAGGACGAGCCGGUCCACCUGAUGGCAGCCAGUCGCUGUGGUUCAAAGCCAACACCGACUACGUGGACUUCUACUGGACCACACGGAGG